rnacentral:rRNA from 1 species
AGAGUUUGAUCCUGGCUCAGGACGAACGCUGGCGGCGUGCCUAAAACAUGCAAGUCGAACGAGGUAGCAAUACCUAGUGGCGAACGGCGGAGUAAUACAUGAACAACGUGCCCUAAAGCCCGGGACAAACGCAGAAAUGCCAUAAAUACCGGAUGUGGUCCAGACCUGGCAUCAGGAUUGGAUUAAAUGGUUUUUCGCUUUAGGAGCGGUUCAUGGCCUAUCAGGUAGUUGGUGGGGUAAUGGCCUACCAAGCCGACGACAGGUAGCGGGUCUGAGAGGAUGAUCCGCUCGAGUGGGACUGAAACACGGCCCACACACCUACGGGUGGCAGCAGUUGGGAAUCUUGCACAACGGGGGAAACCCUGAUGCAGCGACGCCGCGUGAAGGAUGAAGGAUCUAGGUCUGUAAACUUCUUUUAUUGGGAAAGACUUAGGACGGUACCCAAUGAAUAAGGACCGGCUAACUACGUGCCAGCAGCCGCGGUAAGACGUAGGGUCCGAGCGUUGUCCGGAUUUACUGGGCGUAAAGAGCGCGUAGGCGGUCUGUUAAGUGUAGAGUGAAAUCUCCAGGGCUCAACCCGGAAACUGCUCUGCAUACUGGCAGACUUGAGGAAUGCAGAGGUUUGUGGAAUUCCUGGUGUAGCGGUGAAAU